rnacentral:tRNA from 1 species
ACGGGCGUAGUUCAAGGGUAGAAUUACGGUCUCCAAAACCGCAGAUGGGAGUUCGAAUCUCUCCGCCCGUGCUA